UAGAGUUUGAUCAUGGCUCAGAUUGAACGCUGGCGGCAGGCUUAACACAUGCAAGUCGAGCGAGAUCUUCGGAUCUAGCGGCGGACGGGUGAGUAACGCGUGGGAACGUACCCUUUGCUACGGAAUAGCCUCGGGAAACUGGGAGUAAUACCGUAUGUGCCCUUCGGGGGAAAGAUUUAUCGGCAAAGGAUCGGCCCGCGUUGGAUUAGGUAGUUGGUGGGGUAAUGGCCUACCAAGCCGACGAUCCAUAGCUGGUUUGAGAGGAUGAUCAGCCACACUGGGACUGAGACACGGCCCAGACUCCUACGGGAGGCAGCAGUGGGGAAUCUUAGACAAUGGGCGCAAGCCUGAUCUAGCCAUGCCGCGUGCAGGACGAAGGCCUUCGGGUUGUAAACUGCUUUUGUACAGAACGAAAAGGACUGGGUUAAUACCCUGGUCAUAUGACGGUACUGUAAGAAUAAGCACCGGCUAACUCUGUGCCAGCAGCCGCGGUAAU
rnacentral:rRNA from 1 species